rnacentral:rRNA from 1 species
UACGUAGGGGGCAAGCGUUGUCCGGAAUCAUUGGGCGUAAAGAGCGUGUAGGCGGCCCGAUAAGUCCGCUGUGAAAGUCCAGGGCUCAACCCUGGGAUGCCGGUGGAUACUGUCGGGCUCGAGUCCGGAAGAGGAGUGUGGAAUUCCUGGUGUAGCGGUGAAAUGCGCAGAUAUCAGGAGGAACACCAAUGGCGAAGGCAGCACUCUGGGACGCGACUGACGCUGAGACGCGAAAGCGUGGGGAGCAAACAGG